GAUGUUACCUAUACUACACAGCCACUCCCUCGAACGUUUGAGAUACUUUUUUCUUCCUAUACAGAACUGUGUACAUUACCUUUAACCGUAUGACAGGUAUUACUACUUAAACGGACGUCUGAGGUUCUUCCAACAGUACGGGGACUCCAAGAGCUGUUCCUACGACGUCUACUGAAAGGAGAGGUUACUAUAGUUGUCGGUUCUCUAAUAAAGGGCUAAGUUCUUUAGUUUAGUGGACCUGGCCUUUCUGUACUAUUACAAAUAACACAAUCUCUUAUAGCUGUUCAGUUUCUUCCAAAGUCCGUUGGUAAUAACCCAGAAGUUGCACUUAUAUUCCCUAGCUUCCAAGCUCCACGAACUAAGUACCUCCUGUGAAGUCCUGUUCUGAGAUCUACAGACGCGUUCCUGAUACCAACGAUCAAAAGCCCGAGACACCCUUCUCGUGAUAGGCUUCAGAGUGUAGAGUAAUCUACUGAAGUGUGAUUCUUUGUAACUACACGGUUUUGUUUGAUUGUUUAUACUGACGCCGUAAAAACGAGAGAGUUAACGUUUACCCACCCUUCCUUCCUUGCAAGGUUCUAAAUGUCGUCUCCUACAAGUUUUAUAGUCCUUCGUCAACUGUUUGUGCACCCAAUUGUGGCU
rnacentral:rRNA from 1 species